UUAAGGGGAGCCUUUAAGGCUGAGAGGAUAAAGAUCGACCCUUGACCUGAUCUAGGUAAUGCUAGCGAAGGGAUAAUGUGAAAUAU
rnacentral:ncRNA from 1 species